GUGCUCACCUGGUGGGAGUGAUACCAUGAACCCAAAGGUGCUUCUCCCAGGUUGUGGCUGAUCCUUGCACUCAGAACAUGCUGACUCCUGUCAUUUUCCCAGUGUGGGAAAGUACUCAGCCAUAUGGUUCAUAGCAGUGGGAACUGCACUGGUGCUUACCAU
rnacentral:snRNA from 1 species